AUAUGAAGGUUGAAGAUACCUUUGAAAAUCAGGAUUUUUAUGUGGUAUCUUCGUAAGGGAGUUACACUAACUAAAGACAAUCUCGCCUGUCGCAACUGGCAUGGAAGUAAGAAGUGUAGUUUUUGUACUCACGAUGAGACAAUUAAACACCUAUUCUUCCAAUGCAAGUUUGCGUGUUCUACAUGA
rnacentral:rRNA from 1 species